CCGUGAUGAGUUGUUGUCCUGUCCAAGCCUGGCUCCCCAACCUUGUACCCUGAGCUGCUGAGAUUGGCUCUGGCUAAUCACGACCCUGAGCUGGAAUAAUUGGGCAAAACAAGAAUGAUAAUAGGCAUGUCUCAAGGUUGCUGUGUGGACCAGCUAAAGCCCUAUGUAAGAAAGCACUUCACAUACAGAAGAGGGUUGAUGCAUUUGGGAGACCCAGAAAUGUGGAUUCCAUCUUUCUAUGAGCCCAAGGAUGAAGGAGAACAAAAGAUCAAUAGCAGAAAAACGCAGCUGUGGAUUAGAACUGAACAGGGAAUCUAGUCCUAGAAGUCCCAAGACAGAGACAACAGCAAAUACUAAGUGCAGAGAGGUCUAGACCAUAACAAGCACACAGAGAAAACGUAUCACAAAUUGUGCUAAAGUUCUGUAAAGGGAUUAAGAUGAAGUGUCACAAGACUGAAUUAGACAGAGUGCCCUUGAAAGAGGGCCAAUUUUUAGAAUGGAGGGUGUAGAUCCAUCCUUUGCAACUGGUGAGGACCUCCUCAGUAAGGCACUGAGCCAGGAGUCUAUACAGCCAUGCCAGCAGGGAGCACUGUCUUUCAUUGUCUGAUGUUUAUUGCAAACCUGUUCUUUUCAGCUUUUUGUUGUUUCAGGUUUUCCUACGUAACAAACCUGCACAUCCUGCACAUGUAUCCUGGAACUUAAAAUAAAAUAAAAUAAAAUUUUUAAAAAGAAUAAAUAAAUAGCAGGCUAGUCCAAAGACGUUUACAUCCUGGAAGAGAACUUGCUGGCUUUUCACCUCAGCAUGUAUGGGCCAAACUAAUAUAACAAGGAGUCUUGAGAGGAGUCAGCGGCCAAGCUCCAUGUCUUGCAGCCAAACAAUGCUGUGGGAUGGAAGGUGGGAUGUCAUGUGUCUGGUUUACAGCACUCACGUAUCAGUUGGCAGUUAACGGAAGUGCUACUGAUUGGAACAGUGGAAGCAAUUUGAAAUGAAAUACAACACUUAAAGCAAAUGAAACGGAAGUGAAUGCCAGCAGUAAAUGGCAAGAAGAAAUCCAGUUCAGUGUGUUCCUCAGAAAUCUUGCCUCUUGGGACUAAAUGCUGCAAAUGUAACUCUUAUCCUUGUUUUUCAAGUUUUACCAUCUCAAAGCUAUCCACUUUAUAUUAAAUUAGUUCUGUUAUAUUAUGUCAAUUUGUAUUCUUAAGAGCACAAGUUUGGCCUCAAAUAGACCUGAGCUGAGAUCCAAUUGAUAUGCCUACUCCCCCUUCACCUUCGAUCAUGAUUGUAAACUUCGUGAGGACAUCACCAAAGGCUGACAUUGGCAACAUGCUUCCUGUACAAUCUGCAGAACAACGAUGGAACAAAAUAAACACCUUUUCUUUAUAAAUUACCCGGCUUCAUGUAUUCCUUC
rnacentral:lncRNA from 10 species